rnacentral:rRNA from 1 species
GAUGAACGCUAGCGGCAGGCUUAAUACAUGCAAGUCGAGGGGCAGCGCAGUGUAGCAAUACAUGGGCGGCGACCGGCAAACGGGUGCGGAACACGUACAGAACCUUCCUUUAAGCGGGGAAUAGCCCAGAGAAAUUUGGAAUUAAUACCCCAUAGUAUAUUGAGUAGGCAUCUAUUUAAUAUUAAAGAUUUAUCACUUAA